AAACUCUUAGAAAGCGAAUGAUGCACAGGGAGCAAGGGAGGUUGUGGUGGCCACACUGCACACGUGACUGUCACCUGAGUCUGAAUGACCUCCCAGAGAACCCCACUGGGUGCCCAUGGUGAGGAAGGGUCUGGGCAGCAUCUGCUUCAAUACCUCUCAGAUCCCUCCUGAUGGUGAUAGCCCAUCCUCUCCAUGACCAGGUCUCGGAACUGGAUCAUCCCACUGACCUGUGGUGCAGUAAGUCCAGAUUGCUUCAUUUCCAUGGGCUGAUCCUGCUCUGCCCAUGACAGUGGCAGUGUCUCUGCAGGAUAUGCCUGUGGGGGCACAUCUGCUAGAAAUCCCCACUCAAAUCAUUUGGGAUUGUCAAUUCUGUGCUGCUCAUGUACAUGUCCAGAGGCUGUGAUGUGUACUGAAGGUGUGAGGUCAGGGUGGGAUACACACGUGUAUGGCCCACCACACACUCUCAUCCAUGUAGGUCCCCUUUUUACUCUAUAUGGAUGCUGGAGAAAUAGGCCGUGCAGAAAACCUAACACACUCAACUUCAACAAACCACAGCCCAUAAACUCAUGGGGCAGAAUAAAAUGCUGCAUCCAGGAGAGGGCAGCAGAAUCCCAGCAAGCUCCAUGCCCAUUCUCACUCCUUAAUUGCAGUUACUUUUCCCUGAGCUGUAAACAUGGCCUUCUACUCCCUGUGGCAAUGUUCUUCACCCAGAGACUCUGGUAAAGUUUUUGUGGUCACCAUGUGACAGCGGGUCUAUAAAUGGUUCUAACUAAUGUUGCAGAGCAGCUAUUUUUGCACCCUUUUCAUUGCAGGAACUGUCUGCGGUCCCAAGUUGAGAUGUGGAGGAAGAAGCCUGAGCUGAACUCAGUGCCGUGGGGCCUUGCAAACACUUCUGGGUGCUGUGUGGGUUGAGAGGGCAGAACUCAGCCCCCGAGCCGUCACGGUGGAUCACAUCCUUUGCUGGCAGACUUGUCCCCUCCUCCCUGUGGUUACAGGAGCGUAGGACAUGGGGAAGAGCAUCUACUCCCUCCAUACGAGACAAGGGAACACAGUCUUGAAUUCAGGUCCUGGCACAUGGGUAGAGAGGCAAGAGUUUCUGAUGGAGUCAGACCUGCAGGGCUGAGGCUCCUCAGCGCGCUUUAGUGACCCCAGGACCCAGCACCCGGCAGAGAGCAGGCCACGGGGUUGUGGUUCCCUGUGCUGUCAUGCAGCAGAUGAGAGCAGCUGUGCAAGCCAGUUCUUAUUAAAGAUUUAAAAGGCAAGCUGUCAGCCGUGCUGCUAAGAGGUGGCUUUUCCUGUUAUAGCUCUAUCCCUCUCUAAUACUAAUAGGAUUGGAAGGAGGAGGAGAAGCGGCAGUGUGCCUCAGUGGAGGGUGAGUGCUUCUCUGUGCAGAGGCUUUGUGCACCUGAGUAGAUCUUUCUAAUUAUUCUUUAUGAGGCAAAGGUGCAGUAGCAAACUGCAUGUCUCCUUCACAAAUAUCUAUGUAUUUUUAUUUUUUUUUGCAAGGGGUCAGGAAGGACUCCACUGACCUUCUGCCCUGUGUCCCUGGGAUCCUCCUUUGUGUCCCUCAUAGCAUCCCACUGAAAUUCCUUGUGUCAGCCUGGAUGAGGAAUUUCUAUGGAGAGAGCUGCCCCAUCUUUCUAUGGAGAUGCUGCUAUCCGCAGCAUCCAGGAUGUCAGCCAGUGAUCAGGGGAGCAGCAAACACUCAGAGAUGUGGAAGCAGUCAGGCCUGAACUCAGAUCUCCCGAUAGAAGAAAAACCCAACCUCAGAAUGACUCUGUACAACUCAGUGCCCUGAGAGUCAUUGUGCUGCAGAGCGCUCCAGGCAUAGGAGGGACUUCAUGUGUUAACAGCAAUGACUUCAGCACAAGUUAGCUCAGCUUGCUCUUUAAGCAACGCCGUACACACAACAUAUAGAUGGGAUGUAUAUCACAGGCAGUUUAUGGCUUGAUUGGAAGUGAUGGCUCUGAAACCAUACCACAGUAGUUCAAGUUAUUGUAAUUCAUGUGCUGCUUUCUGCCUUGCUCAGGACACAGCAAGUGUCUGGAACUCUUGGUGCUGGCCCUGGGUUAAAGCCUUCUUUGGCAAUGGGCGAAGCAAAACAGGAGAGGGGAUGGGGAGAAAUGCUAGGAAAUGAAUUCUCCCCUGGAGUCAGCCAGAGUUUGAGGAAACCCAGAGCCUGCCUUGUACAUCUGCCAGGACUGAUUCAUGAGGAUGUAUUUAUUAAAGAAGUACGCAUUUUUUGCUGGUUCCCUGCCAAUCUCCUUCCACAAGGAGGCAAAUGACUCCAGCAGAGAAAACAGAAGUUCCCCUGCUUUCACUGAUACUUUGUGCAGAAUGAGGCCACCACAGCAGGGUCACCUGUGUCUGUUGGUGCCAAAGCCUCAGGUCUAUUAAGAACACCUCUCUUGAGCUAAAACUUCAUGUCCCAGCCCUCAUCAAAGCACAGCCUCAGCUGUGAGACCCGAAAAUUUCACUUCAGACAUCUCCCCACCCAAGUGCUUCUUGUUCUUCCACCAUUUUAUGGAAAACUAUCUCAGUCAUGGUCCUUGUGUGCAAAGUGGAAGGUUCCUUCAAGAGCAUCCAGGCAUCACUUAUAAGGAAGCAAUGAGGAAUGGUUGGGAAAGUGCUUUCCAGGAGGACUGUAUAUAUGAACGUGCUGUUUCCUGGCAGUGUGUCCAGCACAAAAAUGGCUCCAGCUGUCUUUCUUUACACCAGAAUAUGCUUUUCUGUAUCUUUUCCAGGAGUCACCUUUCAGAAAGUAGACCCACAGGUGAUUUCCACGCAGUGCUCGCUUUCUCUCUUGUUACUUUUGCCAAGAAGAAAUUCCACUCACUAACGGUCUCUCAGGGAGGACCCAGCCAAGACUGGGAGAGUGCUCAGUGUGCUGACCAAACUGGAGACAUUAGAGGCAGGAAGGUGAAAGGGAAAGGUGGGAAUGAUUGCAACCCUUAAUAUAUUGGGGUGAAAUAACAGCAGAAGUCCUUUCUUCAAGCCAAAUCAAAUGUUCUGAUCAAUCUCAACGGGAAGAGUUCAUAUGGAGCAGCGGAUGAGGAUCUGGGUCACCCACUCUGGCAGAUGCCUUGGCCAUGUAGCACAGAUCUGUGCUUCUAUCAUCAAGCAGAGUCUCAGCUUCUGGGCAAGAAGAAAAGGAAAAAUGGCUUCUUCUCUUUUUCCUUCAUCCAGAAGUUCUUUUCCUAUUUUGCAGAACCUCUGUCCUGCCUGACCCAGAUGUGUCAGCCAAAACAGCAACUUACUCCUGGUGUGCUGCUGCUUCUUGGAGUUUUCUACCAGAUUUCCUGCUUUCCCUUCUCUUCUAAUGUCAAUUUGGGGAGCUGAGGUCCACCAAAAUCGCUGCAGCUCCAUAAUUACGUGAGCUAAAUCCUACUCCAAUACCUAGAAACGCAGUAUGCAGACCCUUAGUUCCAGCUGAGCACCUCAUCCCUUAUGCCAUGGGUACAGCUCAUAUGUUCAAAUGCACCUCCAGCCAGAGCAGACAGCAGGAACAUCAUUAUCUGUUUCCAAACGUGAAUCAUAGAGGAGUGAAUAAAUUUUCAGAGAACAGAAACCACUUCACUCCAAAUCAGAGAUGAAGUCUGGAACCUGCAAAGUCCUCUGCCUACUUCUCAUUUCUCUCACUCUUUGUGCCUUUUCCUCCUCAAAGAGAGUUUGAGGCCAAGACAUAAUUCAUUGGAAAAUCUGCCAGAAUCUGAUCCAGCCCUGGGAAGCCUCUCUUCCAUGUUACUUCUGAAAUUUUCACCUUUCCAUUUUCUUUUAGGAGCAUAAAUCCCUUGGAUAACGACUGCAGUUCUGGAUUACAGCCUUUCCCCAAAGCCAAGGAGUGUGUGGAAUAACAUUUCCCUGCAUAGUGCCAGGAGUCAAGCGUGAGCUAAGCUAAGCUAAGCAAUGCAAUGCAAUGCAAUGCAAUGCAAUGCAAUGCAAUGCAACGGAGAGACUGUGCUUUCAAGGGAGAUACAGUGUCAUUCAACUUGUCCUGUUGGUGAGCAUCUCUACAUAUACUGAUGCUCACUGGAACAUCUUACUGAAUGUUCCUACUCAUUUACUAAAUGUAUGGGAACUGCUGAGUCACAGCCUGAACCACUGAUUGAGCACCUGGGGGAAAAGACCCAGUCAGCCCUGGGAGCACAGGUGAAGACAAUUCACUAUGUGACCAGAAGGGUUGGAGCCUGGUUCCACCUCUCUUAGACCUCAUUUAAAGGCUGACAGCCCUGGGGGAAGGAUCUCUUGUUGGAGAUCCCUCCCUUGUUGAAGUUUUUCUCUGCGAGCCUAAAUCUUCAGAGAUGGCCAUCCUUGUUCUGAUCAGCCUUCAAAGAGAUUAAAGCCCAGUAUCUGUGAAGAUUUCCAAGUCCUUCUUGAAAUGUGGUGACUUGGAUCUGUUUUUGGUCUCAAGUCCAGUUUAUCGAACAAUACAACAGUUUAGAUGACAUCCUGCAAGUGGGAUGAAAGGCCUAUCUAUGGCCACCAGCCAGGCUCUCAAGUCCAGUGAGACCAAGUCACCUGGGAAUCAGGAGCAGCACAAAGACGCUACUGAAUCUGAGCUCCCUGAGCCCUCCAAGACCACUCCUUGCCCAGCCAGACCUGAAAAACCAUCUUCACCACCCAGCCUUGCUCUGCAGCAUCCACUGGGGUGUCUUUACCUGGGAGGCUGAAGUGCCUGGAGAGCUGCCUGGAGAGCUGGCCUCGCACAACAGGACCUAGAGAAAAGGAAAAGAUGUGGGUGUGGCUCUCUGCUUCACUAUAACAACUUUAGUGACUUCCCUUCAAAAAAGCCCAUCCCUUGGAGGUGUACGAGGAAAGAGAAAGAGCGCCCAUCACAUGAAAAAUUAUGUCCAGCAAAUUUCCCUUGGAUGUGCACUGUGAUCCCAGCCUGGUUUUACAUGAUUUGUCUUGAAAUGCCUCUGAUGGGUACCUUACUGCAUCCCUCUAGAGCACUUCAUAUCAUUUUGAAGUGAUGAGUAAGAUGAGACCCUACCUUAACCAAGGAAUAGGAUCACCAGCUCAACCCCAUCUUACUACUUUAUUGAAAGAGAUGCCCUUGCACUAGCAGGAACUGGCCAUUUUUGAAGGGAGGAUGUUUGUCAAAAGCAUCCUGUAGGAGCAGGGACAAGGCCAUGGGCUACUGCAUGCCAUCCCUGGGAUGAGGGAGAUCUCUGAGCAGGUGGGCAUCUCUCCAACCCAGUUCCUUUGGGACCCCUCAGUACAUUAGCACCAAAACCCCUUCUUACAAGAGAGCCCUGGAGGACACUCAGCCAUUUCCUCUCUAAAAAGCUGUAGGAGGGUACAACCAGCCAGUUCUAUGCUUGUUGAGGAGGAGGGCAAUGUGUAUGGGAAAGCCCCAAACGGUAUAUUAAUUCAUUUGGUUUCUUUGCAGAAGAAUAGCAGCCUGAAAAAGGACAUUCCUCCCCCUCUAGCUUGAGCUCGUUGCCAUUGGAAAGACAUUUUCCCUAGAAACGCGUUAAUACAAUGCGGGAAUCAGGUUAAAAUUACACUUAAUCUUGAUAUAUUGCUUGAAAAGAGGAAAGCAGUGUUUCAUUUAAAGCUGCAGAAGGAAACACAUUUUCACAUGUCAGAAGAGGGUUUUUUCCGGAGCUAUUUCCUGUAUUUUUGGUGUAUUUGCAACUAGUCUUAAUUAACACCUGCAUUUUUUCGGUAAAUACAUGGUUCAACUGAACAUGUUUGCAAGGAUCCAUUCAGGUUCAGGAACUGCCGUGGUACGCAGCAAGCAAACUGAAAUAAUAAUUAAAGGCAGAGUAAAAAACUGUCUGCAUGCUCCUAAUAUAUGGGGAAAAAAAAUUGUCUCAUGAUAAGUCAACAAAACAGUGGAUAAUGGAGAACAGUUAAUACAUUUUCCUGAGUGCUUUUUGAUAAAGGCCAUCAAAGAGGCUUUUAAGAAAACUCAAUUGCCAAAGGGGGAUUGUCGAGCUUCCGCAGUGUAUUAAAAGCUUAUUAAGAUGGAGAAAAGAAGAAAUGGAAUCAAGAGUUCAUUCUCGACAUAUAAAUAAUAUAAUAAUAGGACAUCCCUGAGAGUCCAUUUUAGGAUGAAAUCUUUUGUUAAUGAUGCAGGGGAAAGGGCGAACAGUCAAGUGGAAAAUUUUUACAGAGAGCAGAGAGUAAUAUCCGCUGGCUGAGGCCAGGGAGGCUGCACUGGGACUUAACGAAGGCACGCUAAUGAAAAGCCUGCCGACAGGUUAAUUGAAACGCUGAGCAGUGAAAAGCAGUGCGUGUGAGAGGGUGUAGCCUGAGAUUUUCAUGCACUUUAGUGGGUUUUGAAUCAAAAAAAAUACGGCAAGAGCCCAAGGCUGUGCUGGGCAGAUGAGGAAAUGCUGGCUCAGCACUCUGAGCUGGUUGUGUUAGGCAGGGGGAUGAGAAACCACAGAAGAUAUAUACAAAAGUACCCUUAAGGAAUAGAGCUGGGCUCUAAUUUUGGUGCUGGCCACUUCCCCUCAGGGCAGACAGACAGGAUUAGUGCCUGCCCAAAGCUGGUAGUGAAAGGCACAAAGGGGUUUUUACACUGGGGAGGAUGAGAUAGGAGGGGCAAGAGGAAAAAAAAAAAAA